rnacentral:lncRNA from 1 species
ACCAUAAUUCAAAUAUUUACUUAAUAAAAGAAAUAGAAGAAAUUGCAAUGCAUAAUAUCUUAUCUUCCUUUUCAAUAUCAGUUUGCCUUUAUUAUGUUCAAGUUGCCUCCAGAUCCAUGUGAUUUCGAGUUAUGAUGCUGACAUUUUCAUAUUCAAAACUUAAUAAUGAAUGCAGUUAUCAAACGAUUGGAUUAAUAAUGGAAUGAUGCAAGCUCCUUUGCUUAUGUUGCUUAUAAUCAAAUGAUAAUACAUCAGAAGGUCACAUGGGCUACAUAGGAGGUCAUAUGUAUGACAUAGGUGAAUCAGCUAAAAUGGAUCCAGGUAUUGCUCAACAACCAUCAUUGAAGGCACAAAAGUUGCCCCAUUAAUAUAAUAGUAUUUGCAACAGAUACUCUUGGAUGAAGUCUCUAUCAAAUGGAUCUUGUGGAUCUUUAAGGAUUCCUUCUGGAAGUUUUGUACUC